GUAGAUACAGAAGCUGCAUAUAUCUUAAGAGUUUUACAAAAAAAGUGUAAUUUUCAUAUGCUAUCAAUACUAUACAUCAACUCCAGAAUAUUGAUCACAAUAUGAGAAAAUUUUAAAAUAAGUUACAAAAAUAUAAAUUUUGAAAUACGAGGAGAUAUUUGAUGAAAGACUCACAAGCAUAUUAACAGUGCGAAAUUCAAAGUUUAUUCUAAUGAAACCCACACUAGAAUUCUCUUAACACUGGAGAUUGCUGAAUUAAUUCUGGAUUGGUGAAGUAAUUCUCUGCUACAGAGUACUAAUUAAUUCAUACUUUUGAUGGAUUACUUCACCGAUGAUGUUAUCAGGUCAUUUCACGCUUUCCAUAACCUCCAUGCCAGGAACAGAAAGCCAUCAUCAUUAACAACUUUCGGCUUUUUCAUCAGCGCUUCCUAUUUCUGGAUGCCAGAAGAUAUUCAGCUCUCAAACUCAGAGGCCAAGAAAACUACGCUUCUCUUG
rnacentral:misc_RNA from 1 species